CAUGGUAUUUUACUGCUUCAGCAGAGCAGCCACUUUUGAAGGAUUUUAUCCUUUUGGAGGGAUGACAGUGUGUAGUCAGAUUUGUUACCAGUUUUGCUUCCAGUAGCAGUUCCAAGUCUGUAACCUGCAAGGAGAGCCCUUUAUUCUCCUGAGCCUGGUCCAUCUUCCUGCUCCUCCCUGACUUUGGUGAUCACAGAUGUCCAGGUGCUGCUCAGAGGCUGGAUUUUGGGAUGGAAAAGAGAGGAGAGGGAAGAAAUAAUGCUACUAUUUUUUUGUUGUUGCUGCUGUUUCUUUAGGACCCAACAGAACAGUGGAGAUUUGCAGUAGCAAAUGGAUCACCGAGGAAAUAAAUAAGAUGCUGUGGAAAUAUAUGGUGCUCAACAAAGAAACCCUGCCUUGGUCCUACACAGAGUGAAUCACAAAUCUGGCAGUUCAUUUCAGGGCUGCUCUCAUUGUUAAUCAGCUACUCUGCAAGCCGACAGCUCCAUUGCAUUUCCUUCUGCAUCGGAUGUGACUUUACGACAAACCUGGUGUCCAGCAGCUAGCAGUCUGCGUUAGAGCUGUACCUUGAACAAGGUCAUCUCAAAUUGCCCUCCUGUACAAACACGUGCUUAGAAAAGCUCCUGCCUUUGGAUCUUUACAGCUCCAGUAAGGAAAGGGGGCUGCCAAGCUUAUCAACAGAGCAGGUGAUGGGUUCCCAGGUCCUUCGCUCACUGUGGAGUUCUGUGCAGCCUAGGAAUUGCACUUAAACCCAGACAAAACCUCUGGGGGAAAGAAGGGGUUGCUUUUCCAUCUGUUAUUUAAUGAACGGCUGACCAGGGGAUGAGCAGCAGGAGGAGGAAGAUUUCUCAGAUGUUUUUCCACUUGCUAAGAGACUGCCUGAGGGUUGCUUGUCAGAAUUUCUUCCACUGCAGCUUUGUUUGCUACCAUGAGGAAACAAACAGCACAGCACCCAAGUGCACACUGCUCACCUACACAAAGCACUGAGAGUAACAGCUAAAAUAAGAGGUACACUAGGACAUCACAACUGCUCAGAGAGUCAGAUCUUGGGCUACUGCAGUGAUUUUGUUUCACACGCUCAGCCCAAGGUGCUCUGAAAGCCCUUACUGCCACUUCAGAAAGAAGAAGGGACUUGCUCCUCGGUUGCCUGAAGGACUUGCUACCCUGUAGGUUAAAAAAAAAAAUGGACUUAACAUUUUGGGUGUUCCUACAUGGAGCUGGUGCAGGUCAGCUCCUCAAAGCUGUUGGCGACUGGCUCAAGGCUUGCCCAGAGCGAGACCAGCUCAUGGACGUGCUAGGGCUUUCACAAGCUUCAAAGGUGUGUUUGCUUUAGCAAACUACCCCCAAGGGCUAAUUAAGCGACAGCAGCUGCUCUUCUCAGCUCUGUUUGCAGGCUGUACAGGGGGAAGGUCCUUGGGAGGGGCCCUGAGGAGCUCCCAAAGCCCUUGCCUCCAAGAUGCUGCCCUGUGGAUGCACCUUUCCCCUAUUUCACACCUCAUGCCCCCAGCCCUGUCCCCUGGGCUCCACGGUUGUCACUGGGGAUCUGGCCAGGGGAAAUUGCUGUGAAAUCAGUUGUGGGUGGAAGGAUAUGUGUGUCGUAAAUGACUUCAUGGAUUCAUGGGGGGGUUGAUCUUUCCAAUUAUGAAAUAAAGCUUGCUAAAUUCUGGGGUUUGAAACAGCCUGUUAAUAUUCUAAACUCAAAAAACAAUAACCAUAAGGAUUGAGUAAGUCACGAGGCAGGUUAUGAUAAGCAGCUUUGUUUGUCAGGUCCCAGCUGCUACGUUGAUAAAUCACAGGGGAAUUUCUCACUGGCU